GAAGUCGGACAGGUGGCCGCUGCCGCGCUUGCGCGGGAGAGGAAAGUCCGAACUCCGCAGGGCAGCGUGCUGGGUAACGCCCAGGCCCGGUGACGGGACGGAAAGUGCAACAGAGAGCAGACCGCCGCAGCCUGGCCGCGUCGACCGCCACCGGUCGGCGCCUCGCGUGCCUCGCAGCGGUAAGGGUGAAACGGUGCGGUAAGAGCGUACCAGCGCCGCUGGUGACAGCGGCGGAUCGGCAAACCCCACGCGGAGCAAGACCAAAUAGGGAAGCGCGACGAGGCCGGCCCGGCCCAGGCUUCCGGGUAGGUUGCUGGAGUUCGGGAGCAAUCCCGUUCCUAGAUGAAUGGUCACCGGCCCGGCGACGGGUCGACAGGAUCCGGCUUAUGAGCGGCUUCGGCG
rnacentral:RNase_P_RNA from 1 species